rnacentral:tRNA from 1 species
AGUUAAUGAACUUGUACAAGUGUAUAUUUUGAAAAUAUAAAAAAGAGUUUAAUCUCUAUUAACUUUCA